AUGUGGUUAUUGACAACUUUUCUUCCAGAAGUGUUAGGAGAAACAACAAGAUCUGAAUGUGUGUUUUUCACCUCCCUUGUGGUUUUAGUUCAAAGACCAUCAAUCUAUGCUAGUAUGUAUAAUACCUUACUAAAUUGCUUUGGAAAUAUACUAUAUUCUGAAUUUUUUUUCUGUACACAAGGGCCCCAUUUUAUCGUCUCGCCCCAGGGCCCCGAAUAUGUAUGUACCGGCCCUGGAUCCGGGUGGUUGGUGGCGACUCUCAACGGGGGCGGUGGAGAGACUUCCGGAAAGGAUACCCAAUUGGUGUCACAUCUCCCAGACGGCUCUCUUCUCGUUCCAUCCCUCUUCUCUUUGUAA
rnacentral:rRNA from 1 species